UGAGGAGUUAAUUUGCGUGUUUUUGUAUUUGAUUAAACACGUCCAUUAACUCUGGUAC
rnacentral:pre_miRNA from 1 species